UACGUUGGGUGCAAGCGUUAAUCGGAAUUACUGGGCGUAAAGCGUGCGCAGGCGGUUAUGCAAGACAGAUGUGAAAUCCCCGGGCUCAACCUGGGAACUGCAUUUGUGACUGCAUGGCUAGAGUACGGUAGAGGGGGAUGGAAUUCCGCGUGUAGCAGUGAAAUGCGUAGAUAUGCGGGGGAACACCGAUGGCGAAGGCAAUCCCCUGGACCUGUACUGACGCUCAUGCACGAAAGCGUGGGGAGCAAACAGG
rnacentral:rRNA from 1 species